rnacentral:rRNA from 1 species
GGAUUGGGAGGGUUCUACGGAACCCGUUUGGUGAAUCUAGUGCCGAGAAAAGCCUUCUAUGUGUUGAAUUUCUAGUACCCGUACCCCAAACCGACACAGGUGGGUGGGUAGAGCAUACCUAGGGGCGCGUGAUAACUCUCUCUAAGGAACUCGGCAAAAUGGCCCUGUAACUUCGGGAUAAGGGGUGCCUGCGUGAGCAGGCCGCAGUGAAAUGGCUCCGGCGACUGUUUACCAAAAACACAGGUCUCUGCUAAGUCGUAAGACGAUGUAUAGGGGCUGACUCCUGCCCAGUGCCGGAAGGUUAAGGAAGUUGGUUAGCGCAAGCGAAGCUGGCGACCGAAGCCCCGGUGAACGGCGGCCGUAACAAUAACGGUCCUAAGGUAGCGAAAUUCCUUGUCGGGUAAGUUCCGACCCGCACGAAAGGAGUAACGAUCAGAGCGCUGUCUCGGAGAGAGACACGGCGAAAUAGGAUUGUCCGUGAAGAUACGGACUACCUGCACCCGGACAGAAAGACCCUAUGAAGCUUUACUGUAACUUGGAAUUGUGUUCGGACUUUGUCUGCGCAGAAUAGGUGGGAGGCUAUGAAACGUUCCUCGCGGGGAACUGGAGCCAUCGUUGAGAUACCACUCUGGCAGAGUCUGGAUUCUAACCUACGGGGACAGUUCCAGGUGGGCAGUUUGACUGGGGCGGUCGCCUCCUAAAAUGUAACGGAGGCGCGCAAAGGUUCCCUCAGGCUGGUUGGAAAUCAGCCAUAGAGUGUAAAAGCAUAAGGGAGCUUGACUGUGAGACCUACAAGUCGAGCAGGGACGAAGGUCGGCUUUAGUGAUCCGACGGCACUGAGUGGAAGGGCCGUCGCUCAACGGAUAAAAGUUACUCUAGGGAUAACAGGCUGAUCUCCCCCAAGAGUUCACAUCGACGGGGAGGUUUGGCACCUCGAUGUCGGCUCGUCGCAACCUGGGGCGGUAGUACGUCCCAAGGGUUGGGCUGUUCGCCCAUUAAAGCGGCACGUGAGCUGGGUUCAGAACGUCGUGAGACAGUUCGGUCCAUAUCCGGUGUAGGCGUAGGAGCAUUGAAAGGAUCUCUCCUUAGUACGAGAGGACCGGGAGGGACGUACCUCUGGUGUACCUGUUAUCGUGCCAACGGUAAACGCAGGGUAGCCAUGUACGGAGUGGAUAACCGCUGAAAGCAUCUAAGUGGGAAGCCCACCUUAAGAUGAGUGCUCCCUUGAGGCCACGGGAAGACGACCCGUUUGAUAGGCGCUAGGUGGAAGUGCAGUAAUGCAUGCAGCCGAGGCGUACUAAUAGGCCGAUUGC